GAAUUAUAUUGAUUCUGCAGUCCAUGGCAGGGAGAAUACAUGAACACACCUGACUUGUUUUCCUUCUAUUUUGUAUGGGACAGGCAUAGGAAUUACCGAUUGCGGAGGUUGCAAUCCGCCAAAAGUUACCAAGGAAGAAUCCGGGCCAAAACCACUUUCAGAGUUCAUGCCACCCUCCCCUCUCUCCUUGCUGGAAGAAGAAAGUUGUGCCAAUCAAAAUAUUAAUGAGGACCUCACUUUUAUUGAGUUCUAUGGUGACAAGGUUAUGUCGUCAAUGCAAUGGGUUAUAGACGAGUUUUGGAUUCAAUGUUUGCAUGCUAUCCAAUAUUUUGAACUAUGGUGAAUCCUGGACAACUUAAUGCAGGCAUGUUUGUGAUAAGAAUUAAUGAGAAGUAACUCAUUAAACAAUAUAUAAAGAAACUCUUAACGAG